rnacentral:rRNA from 1 species
AUUGAACGCUGGCGGCAGGCCUAACACAUGCAAGUCGAGCGAGCGGCGGACGGGUGAGUAAUGUAUGGGAAUCUGCCCGAUGGAGGGGGAUAACUACUGGAAACGGUAGCUAAUACCGCAUACCAUCGGAUGUACCCAUAUGGGAUUAGCUAGUAGGUGGGGUAAAGGCGCACCUAGGCCACGAUCCCUAGCUGGUCUGAGAGGAUGACCAGCAACACUGGGACUGAGACACGGCCCAGACUCCUACGGGAGGCAGCAGUGGGGAAUAUUGCACAAUGGGCGCAAGCCUGAUGCAGCCAUGCCGCGUGUAGGAAGAAGGCCUUAGGGUUGUAAAGUACUGUCAGCGGGGAGGCGUUACCCGCAGAAGAAGCACCGGCUAACUCCGUGCCAGCAGCCGCGGUAAUAC